rnacentral:lncRNA from 1 species
GCCCAAACUCCAUCUAGCCCCAGCAACAAGCCCCUGCCCAAACACCGCAAGCCGAGGCCCAAGCAGGAGAAGCUCCACCAGCAGGCCGAGCUUGGCCCAAACCCCCCACUGCCGACUGACCACCGACUACCUUGCCCUGCCAGAUCCGCCACCCAUGACGACCAUACCAGUUCAUGUCACCACGACCACAGCAAAUCCAAUCCAGAACGCGCCCAAACCUGCUCAGAUCAGAUCCCUCCCCAGAUUGGAUCCAGAGACCCAACCCGGAUCGCGCCACCGACCACCCCAGAUUGGACACCACUGAAGGAGGAUGAAACUGCCGCCGAUCCGAACCACGCCACGCCGCCAUGCCCACAACGCCACCCAGCAGCCUCCACACUUUCGCAACCAAAACCACUUCGCCGACCAAGCCAGCGAGGAUCAAGCCAAAACCCGACUGCCGCCUGGAUCUCCCUCCACCCCAAACUCCCCGAGCCGAACGAGAAACGUCGGCCGAAUGCGCAACUCACUCUAAUCCCAGACGGGAUCGACAAAAGCCCGUCCGACGACGGCGAAAAGGCUCGCCGCCGGAC